CCUACGGGAGGCAGCAGUGAGGAAUAUUGGUCAAUGGACGAGAGUCUGAACCAGCCAAGUAGCGUGAAGGAUGACUGCCCUAGGGGUUGUAAACUUCUUUUAUAUGGGAAUAAAAUGUUCCACGUGUGGGAUUUUGUAUGUACCAUAUGAAUAAGGAUAGGCUAACUCCGUGACAGAAGCCACGGUAAUACGGAGGAUCCGAGCGUUAUCCGGCUUUAUUGGGUUUAAAGGGAGCGUAGGUGGGUUGUUAAGUCAGUUGUGAAAGUUUGCGGCUUAACCGUAAAAUUGCAGUUGAAACUGGCAUUCUUGAGUACCGUAGAGGUGGGCGGAAUUCGUGGUGUAGCGGUGAAAUGCUUAGAUAUCACGAAGAACUCCGAUUGCGAAGGCAGCUCACUGGACUGCAACUGACACUGAGGCUCGAAAGUGUGGGUAUCAAACAGGAUUAGAUACCCCUGUAGUC
rnacentral:rRNA from 1 species